UACGGGGGGGGGCAAGCGUUGUUCGGAAUUACUGGGCGUAAAGGGCUCGUAGGCGGUUUGUCGCGUCUGCUGUGAAAACCCGAGGCUCAACCUCGGGCCUGCAGUGGGUACGGGCAGACUAGAGUGUGGUAGGGGAGACUGGAAUUCCCCGGUGUAGCGGUGAAAUGCGCAGAUAUCGGGAGGAACACCAGUAGCGAAGGCGGCACUCUGGGCCGGUACUGACGCUGAGGAGCGAAAGCGUGGGGAGCAAACAGG
rnacentral:rRNA from 1 species